rnacentral:misc_RNA from 1 species
GAUGAAGAACGUAGCGAAAUGCGAUACUUGGUGUGAAUUGCAGAAUCCCGUGAACCAUUGAGUCUUUGAACGCAAGUUGCGCCCGAAGCCAUCAGGUUGAGGGCACGUCUGCCUGGGCGUCACAUAUCGUUGCCCAAUGCCUAUUGCAGUGCAAUAGGAAUUUCUAGGGCGAAUGAUGGCUUCCCGUGAGCGUUGUUGCCUCGCGGUUGGUUGAAAAUCGAGUCCUUGGUAGGGUGUGCCAUGGUAGAUGGUGGUCGAGUUAGAACGAUACCGAUCAUGUGCAUGCUCCCCAAAAUAUGGCCUCUAUGACCCACACGCGUCUUUUGACGCUCAUGACGAGACCUCAGGUCAGGCGGGGCUACCCGCUGAAUUUAAGCAUAUCAAUAAGCGGAGGA